GGACCUUUCGGGGUCUAGUGGCGGACGGGUGAGUAACGCGUGAGAACAUGCCCUUAGGUUCGGGACAACAGUUGGAAACGGCUGCUAAUACCGAAUGUGCCGAGAGGUGAAAGAUUAAUUGCCUAAGGAUUGGCUCGCGUCAGAUUAGCUAGUUGGUGGAGUAACGGUUUACCAAGGCGACGAUCUGUAUUUGGUCUGAGAGGAUGACCAGACACACUGGGACUGAGACACGGCCCAGACUCCUACGGGAGGCAGCAGUGGGGAAUUUUCCGCAAUGGGCGAAAGCCUGACGGAGCAAUACCGCGUGAGGGAGGACGGCUUUUGGGUUGUAAACCUCUUUUAUCAGGGAAGAAACAAAUGACGGUACCUGAUGAAUCAGCAUCGGCUAACUCCGUGCCAGCAGCCGCGGUAAUACGGAGGAUGCAAGCGUUAUCCGGAAUUAUUGGGCGUAAAGCGUCCGUAGGUGGUUUUUCAAGUCUGCUGUCAAAGCGUGGAGCUUAACUCCAUAUCGGCAGUGGAAACUGGGAGACUAGAGUGCGAUAGGGGUAACGGGAAUUCCCAGUGUAGCGGUGAAAUGCGUAGAGAUUGGGAAGAACACCAGCGGCGAAAGCGCGUUACUGGGUCUGCACUGACACUGAGGGACGAAAGCUAGGGGAGCGAAAGGGAUUAGAUACCCCUGUAGUC
rnacentral:rRNA from 1 species